CUGUGGAUCACACAGGAACCCCCAUGCUUCUUUUAGAAAUGUGAACAAUCUCCACAAGGUUAGUUGCUUUGCUAACAAGUGAAGAAGCUGUUCUGGGCUGAAUAUUUGUGCCCUUCCAGAUUCAGACGUUGAAGCAAUAAACCUCAACGCAACGGUAUUUUCGGUGCAGGCUGUGGGAGAAAGGAGCUGUCAUCUCCAUCUGACGUAUGAGGAAAUGGAGGCCCAGUAAGGCGGAGCCACUGCUCUCAAAUCAUGUUGCCUCUGAGUUGUGAAAUGGGGUUUGAAUCCACCGUGACAUGGUCAAGCUUCUACUCUUCUCCAGCACCAGGCUACAAAGAAGUGAAGCCAAGGAGGACUCUCCUUCUGCAGGCCAUCGAGGAACAUGGGACAUGGGACACUCAUCACCCUCCCCCCUCCCCCAAAGGGAGACAUGGUGACCCAUGGAUUUUGAAGUUAGAUGCCAGUGGCUUAAAGUCUCUUCCUGUCUCCUGCUUGUCAAAUGAUACUGGGUAACUCGCUCAUCACCUCUAUGUCUCUCUACUUCGUCCUCUGAACGAUGGAAAGAAUAGUAUAUACCACAUGUUCUGCAAAGUAAAAACUGAGCCCGUAUCAGCCCACCUAGAACUCCUGGUUCACACCCAUGGCCCGGUUCAGAUGACAGCAUCUGUGCCCUUACUUGAGGACAAUGAGUCAUCGCGCAAGACUGGGAGAGGAUGCGGACAUGGAGACGCCAUGUCCACUGGAGUCGAACAGACCAGACGAGAAUCAUGGCUCUGCCACAUAAUGUAGCUCAAUGGACUUUGACAAAUGAUUCAACUUCUCCAUAAA